UCCCAAAGACUCCGAAAGCCAGUGAUGA
rnacentral:piRNA from 1 species